GGGUGCGAUCAUACCAGCGUUAAUGCACUGGAUCCCAUCAAAACUUCGUAGUUAAGCACACUUGGGCUAGAGUAGUAUUGGGAUGGGUGACCUCCCUGGAAAUCCUAUUGUUGCACCCU
rfam:Picea glauca, whole genome shotgun sequence.